rnacentral:lncRNA from 13 species
AUGAGAUGCAGUCCUUUUCACUCUUCCCUUCCAUUUUCACAGGCAGAGGAACCUCUCCGUGUGGCUACCACCACCAAAGGCCCACAUAAAUUACUGCCCGGUUAUUGCCAACGUUCACUUAAGAUGCAAGGGAUCUUCAGUCAGCUUGUGGUGAAUGCUGCCUGCCCUGGUUCUCACCAUGUAUUAGCUUCUGAUUCAGAAGAUGUCUCUUGUUAUAAUCAUCACAGCUGAGAAUGCGCUCUGAGUCUCAGGGCAGAAUCAAGUCAUGUAUCAGCCCACAUUCAAGACUAGCAUCUGUGAGAGAGAGAAUACUGGGAAUCAUAGUUCAUUGAUGAGAGAGAGGUAAGGUGGGCAGAUUUGGAAACUACUACCACUAAAAUAAUUUUUUUCCUGUAACAAUUAACAUCUUUUUCUUUAAUUUCCUAACAGUCAUUUAAUACUUUGUUUUGUCC